GGCCCAAUGGUCUAGUAGUAUGAUACUCGCUUCGGGUUAAUCCCCGCUCCGUCACCCGGAGUUUGAAUGUGAGUGGUCCCGGGUUCAAUUCCCGGUUGGGCCC